GUCAACAUGUCCGAGUGGUGAAGGACAUAAUCAAAAUCUGUUGGUCUUUGCCUAUGUAGGUUCGAAUCUUGUUGUUGACG
rnacentral:tRNA from 1 species